UCCCUAAUAGCUCAGUUGGUUAGAGCGAAUGACUGUUAAUCAUUAGGUCGUAAGUUCAAAUCUUACUUGGGGAG
rnacentral:tRNA from 1 species